rnacentral:rRNA from 1 species
UAUCUCUGUAGAGUCUGCAUAUCAAUAAGCGGAGGAAAAGAAACUAACUAGGAUUCCCUCAGUAACGGCGAGUGAAGCGGGAAGAGCUCAAAUUUGAAAUCUUCAAGGUUUUCACCUUGACGAAUUGUAGUUUAAAGAAGUGUUUUCUGUUGGAUGUUUUGGUAAAAGUUCUUUGGAAUAGGACAUCAUAGAGGGUGAGAAUCCCGUAUUUGACCAUUAUUUCCAGCUUUGUGAUACACCUUCAAAGAGUCGGAUUGUUUGGGAAUGCAGUCCAAAAUGGGUGGUAAAUUUCAUCUAAAGCUAAAUAUUGGCGAGAGACCGAUAGCGAACAAGUACCGUGAGGGAAAGAUGAAAAGAACUUUGAAAAGAGAGUUAAACAGUACGUGAAAUUGUCAAAAGGGAAGCGUUUGACACCAGUGCUGUUUCUACGAAAAUCAAUUUAUGAUGGCUUGAUGCUAAGCUUUAAGACUUUAUCCGCUUGUUGUUUAGUUUUCUUGUCUUUGUGAAUGCACUUUUCGUGGAACAAGUCAACAUCAAUUUCUUUUGCUGUAAAAGGGUAAGAGGAAGGUGGCUUCGGCUUCGGUUGAAGUGUUUAUAGCCUUUUAUCUCUGCAGUCGGAGAGAUUGAGGUCUGCAGCGUAGACUCUUCGGGGUUAGAUACGUCGGUGCUAAGCUAUAGCUUUUCAUAGACAACUUGUUGACUAUGUUUAGUCAUGUGGCUUACCCGCUGGCGCUAUUUUACCUACGCUUAGGAUGUUGAGUCAUCACACAUCUCU